rnacentral:ncRNA from 2 species
AGCAGCCGCGGUAAUUCCAGCUCCAAUAGCGUAUAUUAAAGUUGUUGCAGUUAAAAAGCUCGUAGUUGAAUUUCGAGAUCAAAUUGUUGGUCGUGCCUUGGUACGCACUGGCAUUAUUGGUUUCUCCCUUCUGACGAACCAUGAUGUCAUUAAUUUGGUGUCUUGGGGAAUCAGGACUGUUACUUUGAAAAAUUAGAGUGUUUAAAGCAGGCUCACGCUUGAAUACAUUAGCAUGGAAUAAUGAAAUAGGACGUUUGAUUCUAUUUUGUUGGUUUCUAGGAUCGACGUAAUGAUUAAUAGGGAUAGUUGGGGGCAUUAGUAUUCAAUUGUCAGAGGUGAAAUUCUUGGAUUUAUUGAAGACUAACUACUGCGAAAGCAUUUGCCAAGGAUGUUUUCAUUAAUCAAGAACGAAAGUUAGGGGAUCGAAGACGAUCAGAUACCGUCGUAGUCUUAACCAUAAACUAUGCCGACUAGGGAUCGGAUGAUGUUAAUUUUUAAUGA